UACACGACCGUACCGCAAACCGACACUGGUGCGCGAGAUGAGUAUUCUAAGGCGCUUGAGAGAACUCAGGAGAAGGAACUCGGCAAAUUUACACCGUAACUUCGGAAGAGGUGUGCCUUUAGUAGGUGAACCUGUACAAGGGGAGCCCAAUGAGGUUGCAAAAAAUCGGUGGCUGCGACUGUUUAAUAAAAACACAGCACUCUGCAAACACGAAAGUGGACGUAUAGGGUGUGACGCCUGCCCGGUGCUGGAAGAUUAAAUGAUGGGGUGCAAGCUCUUGAUUGAAGUCCCAGUAAACGGCGGCCGUAACUAUAACGGUCCUAAGGUAGCGAAAUUCCUUGUCGGGUAAGUUCCGACCUGCACGAAUGGCGUAACGAUGGCCACACUGUCUCCUCCUGAGACUCAGCGAAGUUGAAAUGUUUGUGAUGAUGCAAUCUCCCCGCGGAAAGACGGAAAGACCCCAUGAACCUUUACUGUAGCUUUGUAUUGGACUUUGAACAGAUCUGUGUAGGAUAGGUGGGAGGCUUUGAAGUGUGGUCGCUAGAUCGCAUGGAGCCAACGUUGAAAUACCACCCUGGUGUGUUUGAGGUUCUAACCUAGGCCCGUAAUCCGGGUCGGGGACAGUGCAUGGUAGGCAGUUUGACUGGGGCGGUCUCCUCCCAAAGCGUAACGGAGGAGUUCGAAGGUACGCUAGGUACGGUCGGACAUCGUGCUAAUAGUGCAAUGGCAUAAGCGUGCUUAACUGCGAGACUGACAAGUCGAGCAGAUGCGAAAGCAGGACAUAGUGAUCCGGUGGUUCUGUAUGGAAGGGCCAUCGCUCAACGGAUAAAAGGUACUCUGGGGAUAACAGGCUGAUACCGCCCAAGAGUUCAUAUCGACGGCGGUGUUUGGCACCUCGAUGUCGGCUCAUCUCAUCCUGGGGCUGUAGCCGGUCCCAAGGGUAUGGCUGUUCGCCAUUUAAAGAGGUACGUGAGCUGGGUUUAAAACGUCGUGAGACAGUUUGGUCCCUAUCUUCCGUGGGCGCUGCAGAUUUGAGGAAGCCUGCUCCUAGUACGAGAGGACCGGAGUGGACACACCUCUGGUGUAUCGGUUGUCACGCCAGUGGCAUUGCCGAGUAGCUAUGUGUGGAAGAGAUAACCGCUGAAAGCAUCUAAGCGGGAAACUCGUUUCAAGAUGAGAUCUGCCGGGGCCUUGAGCCCCCUAAAGAGUCGUUCAAGACCAGGACGUUGAUAGGUCGGGUGUGGAAGCGCAGUAAUGCGUUAAGCUAACCGAUACUAAUUGCUCGUGCGGCUUGACCU
rnacentral:rRNA from 1 species